UGAGGAAUAUUGGGCAAUGGGCGAAAGCCUGACCCAGCAAUGCCGCGUGAGUGAUGAAGGCCUUAGGGUUGUAAAGCUCUUUCAGUAGGGAAGAUAAUGACUGUACCUACAAAAGAAGCCCCGGCUAACUCCGUGCCAGCAGCCGCGGUAAGACGGAGGGGGCUAGCGUUGUUCGGAAUUACUGGGCGUAAAGAGUGCGUAGGUGGUUUAGUAAGUUGGAAGUGAAAGCCCAGAGCUUAACUCUGGAACUGCUUUCAAAACUGCUAGACUUGAGUUUGGUAGAGGGUGAUGGAAUUCCUAGUGUAGAGGUGAAAUUCUCAGAUAUUAGGAGGAACACCAGAGGCGAAAGCGAUCACCUGGGCCAGUACUGACACUGAUGCACGAAAGCGUGGGGAGCAAACAGG
rnacentral:rRNA from 1 species